GUAAGGAAAACUUUUGAAUUU
rnacentral:miRNA from 1 species